UGUAGCAGCUGUCGAGUGAAACGAGGCUGCGAGCUUUUGAUCUUUAAAAGCAAAGAUCACAGCCUCGUUUCACUCGACAGCUGCUACA
rnacentral:misc_RNA from 1 species